GCUCGACCAAUCGAACUGCACGACCGCGCGGUGGAUUGUGGGGGCUGUAGUCCAACUUGCGGGCGCGCCACGAAUGAGCUGGAAGCGCGGCUGGAUGCGUGGUGGUCUGAGGCGGCCUGGAGAGUUGGCUAGCUUACCAAGGAGCAUUGGAGUCAAGGUCAAGCGCCCCUGGAGAGGUUACCCCUGACGCAUAGGUGAAGGUAAUGUCUUGAGACUACCAGGGACGCUGAGGAGAGCUUGGGAAGUUUCCUUCAGCAACCAUGUGUUAAGUAGCCGUGUGUAAGCACCCAGCAAACCUUGACCCACUAGGGAAACGUUCUACGUGCCAGUGAACUGCCUUCCUGAGCGUCAGUCAUGGAGGAACAUAUCAUAUCACAAACAAGGAAGUUAAAAAGAGAAACUCAAUGCAGGAAGAUGUCCAUUCUGAGGGAAGCCUCCCUUCCAGCAUCAGCUGUCCUUGAGAACAAGAAUCAAUCAACAGUCCUUGAAACCAAAGCUUCAGUUUCUGCAUUUGGUAAAAGGUCCCCUCAAUCUACCAUUUCGUUAGUUUUCCCCUGGAAAUGGUGUCAUUUUCAAGUGUUACCUGAUCGCAUGAGAUUGUGAAGCCAAACUCUGACUUAGAGUAAAACCCAGGACCCUGUCUGUACUAGGGAAUGAAAUCCCAGCUGACUUCUGCUGGUGUACUGACCUGCUUGAACUCUCUAAACCUUGUCUUGCCAGUA